CGAAAGGGUGACGAAGCGACGCCGCGUGUGGGAAGAAGGCCUUCGGGUUGUAAACCACUGUCAGGAGUUAAGAAGUGUAAGGAUACGAAUAGUGUCCUUACUUGACUAAGGCUCCAGAGGAAGCCACGGCUAACUCUGUGCCAGCAGCCGCGGUAAUACAGAGGUGGCAAGCGUUGUUCGGAAUUAUUGGGCGUAAAGAGCACGUAGGCGGUUCUGCAAGUCGGCUGUGAAAGCCUUCCGCUCAACGGAAGAACAGCAGUUGAUACUACAGGACUAGAGUGCGGGAGGGGAGAGUGGAACUUCUGGUGGAGCGGUGAAAUGCGUAGAUAUCAGAAGGAACGCCGGCGGCGAAAGCGACUCUCUGGCCCGUAACUGACGCUGAGUGUGCGAAAGCUAGGGGAGCAAACGGGAUUAGAUACCCCGGUAGUCCUAGCCGU
rnacentral:rRNA from 1 species